CUGGCUUUGCACAGACACCCCAACAAUCCCACCCUGUGCAUCCCUGAGAGUGUUGUCCAAAUUCCCCUGCCACAGGCAUUUCAGGUUGGACACCUCCAUUGAUGAAAACCAAGGAUUUUUAUCAUUUAUUUCUUGUUCUCUUUUCACAUCUGUAACUGGCAUAUUGCCUCCAAGAAUGCCAGGAACAGAAAAUCACUUAGAUGGCACAGUAGUGUUUUUACAUUAGGAAAAUAAUUCUGCCUUCCAAGAGAAAUUUAAAUUUUAAAAAAAAGGGGAGGCAGGGGGAGAAACAUCCUGAAAAAUCAGUACCUAAUCAUAUUUCCAGUAUGUAUCCUGUUCACGCCAUCUGAAUCCAGUGGAUAAAAUCACAAUUUGAAAGCAGGGCACACCAUACCCUGUAUGUCUUUGUCAUCAACAAAACUUGAAGGAAAAAACCCCAUUUACUCAUUUCACAUGAAUUGCAGCAACCUAUAAAUCCUGCAGGCUUGGGUUCCCCACCUGUCCUGCAUCCAGACCACCUUUUAAUGGAUAUAUUCCUAUGGCUUUAAUGGUGAUGUGGAGCAGUUCACCUGCUUUUGCAAAUUGUGCAGCCCCCCAGGACAGCUGCACUGUCCACUGACAAGAUCAGCACGCAGAAAUAUCACAUUUUAAUGUAUCAUAGCAGGCAGAAAAGGGCAAUGUUAAUUCAGGCAGUCAUUAACCAAAGCAGGGCAUGAGCAAACAGCUGUGAUUAAAGGGGUAUAUUUCUGAUGCCGUGGUCAUUAAGGUACAUUUGUACCAGUGCAAUUAGAAGCGCCCAGGUUUGCUCUGACUCACUGUAGUUCACUCUCGUUAGUCUGCAGUUGUUCAGAUUUCUACCAUAUCCUUUUUUUCUUAAGAGAAACUGGUAAUAUAUCACUGAAUAUAAAUAUACACGUGUGAAGAGAAGGAGAAAUAACAUUCCAUUUGUACAAAAGGGGGAAGAAUCACCCCCCAUCUUUAUCACUGGCAACAGCUGAGGGAAAUUUAAGUUCUUUCAUUUUAUUUGCAGCAAGACUUAAAAAUAGAUUUGCAAAUUCAGACUGGGAACUCUUCUAUCCUUUUCCAAAAAAGAAAAGCACAUCACAACAUGGACAAAUCAAUUCCAAUUGCUUCUUGUCCAAAGAAACCACACUAAACCUCAAGGUGUCUUAGGUAAAGAUUCCAAAUCAGGAAAUGAAAAGCUGAACAAGAAAAUGCUGAGGUCAGGCAGGCUCAACCUUUUCUUAUCCCUUUUGUUAUCCCUUCUCUUUCAUGCUGCUGGGGAGCACACAGAGGGGAUGAAAGCUGCUGCUGCUGCUGGGCUCCAUCAUUAGGAACAGUCUGUAUUUACAGUUUCAGCCUGGGAGCCACGGCAAGUCCUUAGCAGCUGACCUGGCGUGUGGAACUCCAGCCUCCCUCCCCUCGUGCUGCAGCCGCCUUGGGAAGCCCUGGAGUUAAGCUCUGUUCACCUCUGGGAAGGUUAAAAGAAAGGUGCUGAUGACAUUAUUCACCAAGAUUGCACUUCAGAGCAGUUACAGAAUCUUGUGAACUCAAGGUCAGCAAAACUGUAAUUCAGACACUCUGCUCCUCAUCUUGCUCUGUUUGGUGCAAAAUUAGGAAGAAUUCUUGACAAGGUCUGCACAUCCACAGCAUCCUUCUCAGCUGAUGACAGGGAAUGUGCUGCUUGGUGAAACGCUUCGUAUCAGCUCUCACAGAAUUCAGCCGGCAAAGAAAGCAGGCCCUUGUUAUGCAAAAUCUUUGUAAACAGUGUUCUGCCCUUAAAUUGAUUUUAAUGCUUUGCCUUGGCGAGCUCCUGCGCUGAUUUUCCCAACAGAAGCCACCACAGGGGCCAUCUGGUGGCAGCAGUACACUGGAGCUGCACAAAACGUGCUAGGGAAUGAUCCAGGGGUAAAUUUCCAGCAGAAUGCAAAGGGAUCUAACCCUGAACUUCUCUUAAGGACAUAUUGUUAUAACUCAAUCUAGGCUUGAAAAAUUCCUGCAAACUUGGAGGGAAAAUAUAACUUGUUCCGUGGCUGUCAUUCCAAGAUAAAUGUCAGUACAGAUAUUAGAAUGUAAUAAUUUUCUAUUUUAUAUUAAAAAUUAAAAUUGUUUCCCUUCCUGUCCCUGUCCCUGUCCCUGAGCUGUCCCCAUUCAGGGAUUUUUGCUAAUGGACUCCUCAAUGCCUUCUGCAGGGAGGAACAUCUUUUCCUUACUAAAGGGAAAACACCCAGGACUGCUUUGCACUGGUCAGUACUGAAGAGAGGCUCAUUUGGUACUCACAACUUAUUACAGAUACCCCAGAACUUCAGCUUUUGGAGCCAAGACUUUAAUAAAUUUCAUGCUUGAAUCAUCAUUACUAUUACAUUUAUAAAAAGGUGAAAAAAUCCUCUCAGAGAACUAUUUGAGAUUCAGCCUCUCAAGGUAAAUCUAAGACUUUUUUUCCCGGGAAUGUUUUCCUGGGCUAUUUUGACCUGUGUCUGUGCGUAUCUGGCAACAGAGUUUCCUGCAGCGAUGUAAAUUUGGGGCAGUACCUCUCAGAUGGAUCUCAGACACAAGUUCCAUGUUCUUUUCUUAGCACAGGAGGAGCUGCUCAGGCUGGGGCAGACAGAUCCUGUGUGGCAGCCUUUCAUCUGUUACGAAAUCCUUUCAGGAGGAGAGCACUGAAUAAUAAGGUGGAUCUGCUUUCUCCCCGUGUCUCUGGAUGUCAGUUCUUGAGGCAGAGUUGCUGACUAAGGAGCAGUGUUUGGUGUUGGGUUACAGCUCUCCAAAGGAGCUGCCUCCGUGCCUGUGAAAAGCUCCGUUGAUCCACAAACACCCCUAAAAUCAUCCCGGCAAAGCACUUGGGUCACUAAUUAACGCCCCAUUAAGAAGAUAGCCUCAUUUUGAACUGCAGACGUCCUAUUCUAGCUGGAAACAUUUCUGUCUGCAGAGUGACCAUUCAGCAUAUUUCAUCAAGCAGCUUUUCCUCAGGGAGAGCGGCUGCCCGUGGUCACACCGAGCCGUGUCCCCUGCCCUGUGCCUGUCCCUGCCCCGCGCAGGGGUGACAGCCACGGGCUUGGUCCUCUGAAGCCACCCGAGUUCCCAGUGCUGACUCCACAGUGCCACGACAGAGACCCACCCCGCCCCAAUUCACUGCUGCUGCUCAUGUGCCUCUGCCUGGGCAGGCUGGGGGGACCACGGGACCCCUUCCAGCCGUGCCCAUCCCGGGAUUCUGUUCCCGACUGCUCGAGACAACGUGCAGUUGUACCCCAGUCUGUCAGCUGUGUGCCUGACCCCAUUCCUAGGUGGUUUUAACUCCCAGCUUUCCGCACCGUGGUGCAAAGUGAAAGUGGCUCAGAACACUCGUGUCUGGCCCAAGAAAUAGAAGUGACCUCCAGCAUUUGGUGGAAAAUUGACGGUACAAACUAUUUCUUAGUCUCAUGCUUUUAUGGAUUCAAAACAACCAAAAAAGGAUGAUCAGAGACAAGUGUGAUGUAAAGGAUAAAAAACAAUCUGUGAAAAGGAUUAGAAACCCAUCCUAGAUAAAGCCUCUUUCAGUUGCUGAAACAACAGCAAGGGAUGAAGUCAUCCCUCGAUGCCUCAACAAGUGCCUGUCGUGUUGUUCUGUGAAUCACCCUCAGAGCGCAGGAACCUGUAAUUUCCACAUGCAGAAUGUCCAAUUUCAAUGCAGGGAUAAGUGAGAGGGAGGAGAGCACACUUCGUUGAAUCAUUCACAGCUGUAAGUGCCAACAGGUACUGCUGAGUGCAAAGAACAUGAGUCAACAACCACACAGCGGGGCUGGGCUUGGGGAGGGUCUUCUUGUGGGGUACCUGGUACAGAAAACAUCCUUGAGCCCUCUCUGUCCCAUCCCUGACCAAGUCAAACAGGGCACACCCUCGGGGACAGCCAGGCUGCAAACAGGCUGCUCCAAGGGCACCAUCGGGCUGCUGGAAACACGCCUGGGGCAGGGAGGGAGAGGGGAGGUGACACGUGGCACUGGAAUCCAUCCCAGCCCUGCUGCUGCACCCACAGAGCCUUGGCUCUCUUGGUGCUUGGCUCCAGCUUCCCUCAUUCAAAUCCCAAUCACAGAAUCACAGAAUCAGUAAGGUUGGAAAAGACCUCCACGAUCAUCAAGUGCAGCCUUUGGCUGAGUCUCUCCAAGGCCACUAAAUCACACAUGAAGUGCAAUAUCCACUCGUUUGUGACUCCACCACAGUCUGUGCUGAUGUUUAACCACUCUUUCAGUGAAUAAGUUCUUCCCUGAUAUCCAGCCUGAUGCCAUCAUUCCCGUAGCCCUGCACUUUUCCAGGUGUGAUCCCACGUGGGCUGGAGGCUGAGUGUGGAAGCAGGAUUGGUACAACUGGCUGUGUGCAGCCAUAGCUCUGAACGUGGGAUCCAGGAGCCAGCAGGCACACGGAGCCUCUCCAGGAUGGCCAGUGAACAGAAUGAUUCCACAGAGAAGUGGCAAGGAUUUGGAAGAGAAGCAUUAAAAAGGUGGAAAAGCACUGACACACUCAUUACUUUGGUAGGAUGAGGAAAGAGCCACUGCUCCCAGCACUAUCUGUAUUUCUGUGAUAUGGGCCUGAGCAGAAAAGUCUGGGAGAGGAAAACAUCAUGGAACAGGAAGCUGACAGGGCUUUUCAUGGCAGAGCUGCAAAAAUGUCAGAGUAACUAAUAUGUUUUCCAUGGAGGAUACCAACAAAAGAAAACCACAUCAGGAGCAUUCAGUGAAAUACUUUACAAAAUCAACCCAAGUUUAGAUUAUGUAAUUAAAUUCAGAGUAAAAGAAAAAAAAAUUAAAACUUGGAGCGAACAUUUAAUUCUUUUAGUUCUCCCAUUCCUCCGACAUUUUGGUUUUCUAGUUUAGUAAUAACCACAGAAGCAUAGAAUCAUAGAAUACCUUGAGUUGGAAGGGACCCACAAGGAUCACCGAGUCCAACCAUACGGUGGGUUUGGUCCUUUCCCAUAGGGAGGUAAAGCCAUAAUUUGUGUGCAAUCUUGUGCUGAUUUUCUGAGCUGAGAAAGCAGAGAAAGUCAUAAUGCUGCAGGAAGCAGGAAAUACAGGAUUUGCACAGCACUGGUGAGAAUGCCUGUGGACAGCGAGCACCAGCACUAAUAGUGAGGGAUAGAGCAGGAAGGGGUGAAAUCCCCAUGCCAGAGAAAAGAACAAGAUAGAAUGAUUAGAACAACACAAGGCAAUUCCAGCAUAUACCACUGAGGCUUUCUCCAAAACCUGGAGGCUUUGAAGGAUUUCCCUAGGUGAGAAUCAGGAGCAAUCCUAUGAGAUCACUGAGACAUUAAACUGGUCCUCUGGAGAGAGAAUUCCCUGGCUGCACCACCUUCAUCUGCCGUUCCUGAUGCCUGGGAGCAGGGAGCCAAGCACCCUUCUCCUUCCAGCACUGAGUGAAGAGCCCACGUGUGCAGCUGUUUGCCCGCUCUCUGUGCUGCUGGAAGGGACACACCAAUUCCCUCUGAAGCGGCUCCCCGGGAGCACUUUGAGCAGGAGCAGAACUGUUGAUGCAGAGUUUAACAGCCCCAGCUGUUUGGUACCUCCCGAGCACUGAUUAAAGGCUUGGGACUUUCCCUUCUGCUGCCUCUGCUUGUCCUCAGCAUCUGAAGAUCUCCAAUGCCUCACAGAACAACGCUGACCCUUGCUGUGAUGAAACCGCUGGUUUUGGGCCCUGGCCCUUCGGCCCCCAGAGCUGCUGAUCCCGGGAAGAGCUGCUGAUCCUGUCAGGACACACACACACUUCUAUCAGGGCCAAAACUAUAAAUUAUUGGGCUCUAUAAGCUGCCUUUCAGCUAAGAGACCUCAGUUCUGCUAUAAAAAGUUCCAAAGCCGAUCCUUCCUCCACCACAAUAUCUGCUGUAGGGAUGCAAUCCAUAGCAAUUCCAAGGGAUUGGAAAUCACCUCUUGUUUUAAAAAUCAUCUAUAUAAGAGCUCUUACACCUUUUUAAAAGCAUGACACCUUGGCUUUCUGCAGAAUAGUUCCUCUACCUGCCGUAAGCAGUGAAUGUCUUGGGGGAGAAUAUGUAAUAUUUGUGUGUGUUAUUAGGGGAAAAUGCAAGAUUCUAAAAGUAUUAAAUUUUAUAUGUAUGAAUAAUUUGACCUAACUCUCCAUUGGUAUAUACAAUCAUGGAAAAUUAAUUUGUUGUAUUGUGCAGUUUGACACAGUAAGGUAAAAAAUAUUUCUACCUGACCAGCAUUUCUUAGAAUUUCAACAAAGCAGUAAAUCUUAAACAAUCCGUGUUUUUUCAGUGGCUGUUUUCAAGGGCUCCAUUGUGGCAGGAAAUGCUAAUGUUAUGAAUCGAUAUGCACUAACAUUACUCAGGUAAUGUGCUUUUAAAAAUGUAAUUUAACAUAAUGGAAAUCUCCUAGAAAGGUAGAUAUUAAUUUUCAACAAACUCUGAUCAUCCAUUUAAAUUAAAUGCACACCAGCUCAUUCCUCAAUGCAUAAUGCAAACUUCUAUUUAGAAGACAGAUGCCAUAAUUUACACCGUGCAGAGAUACUCAGCUAAUGUAACACCUCUGUUUCAGGCAGCAGUAAAACUGUCUUAAUUAAGGAAAUGCCAACAGAUUAAGAUGUUCUCAUGGUUCAUAAAAUAUUUUAGAGGGUGGCUUGGCAGCAUUAGUACAAAUGUUGUGAAGCCUGGUGUGUCUGAAGCUUAUGCUCUGCACUUAAAUUAAAAAAAAAAAGAUGCUGUGAACCAUGGAAAAAGAUGGCAAUGUCAUAUUUCUGUUGCCAUAUGUUGAUAUAUGUAGUUAUAGUGAUUAUAUAGUGGUCACAGAGUGGGUUCCUAAAUGGCCACAUCUCAAAGUCAUCACUGAGUUUCUACCGUGCUUCUACAUCUCCAGGUAAGAGCCAGCCACUGAAGGAGUAACAGCAAAAAUUUAUCUAAAGGUAAGGAUGAAACUGGAAGAUAAAAGGAGCUGAGAGAAGGCUGGGUGAAAGAGGAAAAUUUACUGUAAGAAGGAAAACCUUCCCACGCCCUUCAGUUCACAGUGCAAACAAUGCACAGAUAAUGGGUGGUUUGCAGAUGAAUCCACAGCACAGCACCUGACCUGACUGUAAAUAAUAUCUAUUCACAUGGGCCAAAUUAAUUUCAUUUAAGCCACAGCUGGUAGCAAAAAAGUCUACAUAACUGAGGGCUGAUCCAAUCAGCACUGAAGUUUUGAGUGAGCAAAUCAAUUAAUUAUGCAUUGAUUUUACCAGGCGUGUUUGUUCCAAUAGUGCACAACUGCGCGUUUGGCUCCGGAGCUCUGCAGCAUCUGUCGGAUAUUUACACCCAGCUCCUGAACACGAGCUCAGUGGUUCCUUUUUGGCUCGAGGCACAGGCAGAGAAGGGAGCAGCUGUUUGCAAAAGGCCACACAAUCACACUGUACCUGCAGAGGAUGCUGCGCUCCAGCGUGGCCCAAGGGAGGGAAGAUGCCUCAUCUGUCUGCAAUUAGGCAAGAAUCACAAUAGGUGCAUGUAUUAAUUCAGUAGAACAAAAUAGAGAGAAGGGAAAUAUGUGUCUUUUCAUAAAUUAAUGCUGGAUGUUGCUGACUAAAGCAGAAAGUAAGUGGAGAUAACUUUUCCUUUUUAUUUCUGAUCUUCACAGGAAAAUCUGUCUGCACUUACCCAUAAAUUCAUACACAGAGAGAGUUCUGUGUUCUGUGAACACAAUCCUGUAAGAAACACAGUUCCCUUUUGCACUGAAUCUGUCAGGUCUCAUUGAUUUUAACAGUUACUGAGGAAAUACAGCUCCUUGCUAGGCACAGAGUGAGUCCUGUACAUAAAGCAUGGGAUUGGAACCUGAGUACAGAGCUGCUGAAAUAAGUACCCGAGAAGUAGCUAAAGCUAAGGGAAGUGAAUGGAAAUAUAAAUUAAUGGGAAGGGAUGAUUUAAUAGGGAUAAAAUAGAGAAGGUAAAACUGAUGUGAUGUUGGAAAAUGAGACUUUCUAGUUAGGAUUCAAAUAUCUGUUACAGGGAGCUUUAAUGAAGUUUAUGCCCGGGCAGUGCUAUAUAAAUCUAGAGCAGAAGACAGACUUAAUCCCAUUAAAUAUUUGUCAGGGAUUUAAUGUAGUAGAUAAUAUAACAAGCACUAUUAAACCUGGCAUUACAAUUCCCCAUUUUUACCAAGUUCCAACGCCCGUGGCUGCAGGGAGAGCUUUGCCUGAGACAGGGCUCAGUGACUGGACUCGCAUUGCUGUUAACGGAUCCCGGUCAGGCACUGGAGCCGCUCUGGGUUUCUCAACUCCUCUUUCCAUGCACUCUAAACCAGCUUUGCUCCCUCCCUGCAGAGGUGGCCACUGGAAAUGCUGUAACAGGAAUAUUUCUAGAACCUUCCUUUUAACAGAAAUAGGCUAAUUUGACCUGCUGGUUCUGUACGUUUUUUCUGUUCAAGAGCAGAAUAUCAUCAUCAACCUCCUCAAACAGCUGCUGCCAAAACCACCUUCCUUUGCUAAGAUAGUGAAAUACCCUGGUCCUGCAGCCCACCUCAGUCAGAAUCUCCCCACUGUUAGUUCAGGGAGUGCCUGCCUUCCAUGUUGCUUGUACACUUCAUUUUCUCACGUCAUCCCAGCUUUUAUGCUUGGCUGAACGACAGUAAGAUAAACAAAAAAAAAGGUUUGAGCUCUGCAGAUGUGGGGAAACUUUUGUUACACCCAAAACUGUGGGAUGGAUAAGGCAUCACUGAAUUUCUUUUCAUUUGUACAGAUUCAUUUAUACUCUUUGGUUGGUUAGUUAGUUGGUGUUUGAGGACUUCUUUGUGCAGGCUCUAGCAACUACCACCACACAGCAGACAGGAACUGCUUUUUGAGAAUAUCCUACUGCUCUGACCUCAAAAGUUCAAAGUUUCUGGGUUAUCAUAAUCAUGUCUGUGGCAAUUAAAAUACUGGGAAUUCAGAUACUU